GAGAGUUAAAUAGUACGUGAAAUUGUUGAAAGGGAAACGAUUGAAGUCAGUCAUGCUAGUGAAAAUUCAGUUUGACGGGUUUUGGGUUUAGGAGUAAGAGGUAGGGUCAAACCGUCUCUCUUUUAAACUUGGGAUUUGUCGGAUGCACUUUUUCUUUGGCAGGUCAGCGUCGAUUUUGGGGGUUGUAAAAUACUUGGGGGAAAGUAACUCUUCUUCGGGAGAGUGUUAUAGACCCUGAGAGAUGCAGCUUGCGGGAUCGAGGAUUGCAGCAAAUGCCUUUGGCUUGUCGUCAGAUCUUUGGUUGUUACCUCGUUUAUGACAACAUUCUUGUCAUCGAUGAGUUCUAAUGGUUAUGGGUUAGAACGAUCAAAAAUUUGCUAAGGAUGCUGGCGUAAUGGCUUUAAACGA
rnacentral:rRNA from 1 species